rnacentral:rRNA from 1 species
GACGAACGCUGGCGGCGUGCUUAACACAUGCAAGUCGAACGGAAAGGCCCUGCUUUUGUGGGGUGCUCGGGUGGCGAACGGGUGAGUAACACGUGAGUAACCUGCCCUUGACUUUGGGAUAACUUCAGGAAACUGGGGCUAAUACCGGAUAGGAGCUCCUGCUGCAUGGUGGGGGUUGGAAAGUUUCGGCGGUUGGGGAUGGACUCGCGGCUUAUCAGCUUGUUGGUGGGGUAGUGGCUUACCAAGGCUUUGAGGGGUAGCCGGCCUGAGAGGGUGACCGGCCACAUUGGGACUGAGAUACGGCCCAGACUCCUACGGGAGGCAGCAGUGGGGAAUAUUGCACAAUGGGCGGAAGCCUGAUGCAGCAACGCCGCGUGCGGGAUGACGGCCUUCGGGUUGUAAACCGCUUUCGCCUGUGACGAAGCGUGAGUGACGGUAAUGGGUAAAGAAGCACCGGCUAACUACGUG